UUUGCAAAAUAUCUAAGAAAUGGUUGUGGGAGUACAACCACUUCUCAAGACUCCCAUUAGGCAUGUAUUCAAGAACCAAUGCUUUGAAAUCAAGGUUAGAGCAGCUACCGAUGACUUUGUUGAUAUUUCGGUGACGAAGGUUGCGUAAUACUUCGCAUUCUACAUCGAAACUCUUGAAUCCUCCUUCUAGUUGCAGAUUGAAUACCUUUAUAGCCACUAAUGUCCCAUUUGCAAGUAUCCCUUUGAAAACUGAACCAAAACUACCCAUGCCAACCAAAUUGCUUUCACUAAAGCCAUCAGUUGCUCGUUGAAGUUCAUAGUAUGAAAUUCUCAUAGGGCCAAUUAUUUCUGACAAUUCAGUUCGCGUGGGCAGUCUAAUUCCGCGUCCACGUCUUAUCAACACAAAUGCAAAUGUCAAUGUAAGAAUUAUUGAUGCAAGCACCAACGGAAUACAUAUAGCUAGAAGCACUCUCUUUUUCUUUGAUGAUCCAUGAACAAAACUAGUAUGGCAUAUUGGGACUUGAAACCGAGGAGCACCACACAACGCUUCAUUCCAUAAGAAAGAUCUACUGUCGAAGCUUUUGAAAGGACCUUUACUUGGAAUUUCUCCUCUUAAACUAUUAGAAGAUACAUUAAAAUAUCUAAGAUACAAGAGUGUCUCUAAGGACUUGGGAAUCACACCAGAGAGGUUGUUAUGAGACAAAUCCAAGUACUCUAAGCUCACUAAAGAUUUGAAUGUAUCGGGAAUAGGUCCUUGUAACCUAUUGUUUGCCAAAAAAAGAUUAGCCAAGUUUUGGAGCUCCCCAAGGGUGUUAGGGAUGUCACCCGACAAUCGAUUAUGUGAUAGAUCUAUUAGCACAACAGCCUUAAGAUUUCGAAGUUCAAGGGGUAUGUGGCCGCUUAAAAAAUUUCUAGAUAUAUCGACCUCCAAAACAUUCUUGAGGUUCCCAAAGUUUCUUGGUAAGCUAGAGGUCAAUUUGUUUGAAUAAAGAUAAAGAUAUCUUAGAGAAGCAAUAUUCCCUAAACAUGCUGGCAAUGGACCGAAAAUCUGGUUUGCUCCUAAGUUUAAGAAACCCAUGUUUUGUAGUCUACAAAGAUAAUCCGGCAUGGAUCCUCCUAUCUUGUUUUCACUAAGGUCUAACUGUUGAAGCUUCGACAACCGUUUUAGUGCCACAAGAUUUUUUCCGGUCAAUUCAUUCCCAUGCAGAGCUAAUAAUAUAAGACUGCUUAAAUUGCCAAUUUCAUUAGGUAAGGUUCCCUUUAUUCCACAAUUAUUUGCAUACAAUUGUUUAAGAGAAGUGGAGAAAUUUCCGAUGGAAGCUGGAAGGUAUCCAUGUAGAGAAUUAUUACUUAAGGAUAAAUCUAUUAAGUUUCUGCAAUUGGUCAAACUAGUGAGGAAGCUUAGUUCUGAAGAUGAACUUUCCGUUAUGAAAUUGUUCAUGCCCAAGUUUAGGGAUUCAAGAUGUUUCAAAUUUCCAAGUGACAUGGGAAUUGUACCUGUUAAUUUGUUUCUACCAAGGUCUAAACUCAUGAGUUGAGUAGCAUUUGAGAUAGACUCUGGCAAAAUCCCUGUCAGGUUAUUAAUUCCUAAUGCAAUUGUUUUUAGAUUGGGUAGCUUGUGGCCAAAAUUGGUUGGAAGUUUACCUGAAACGUGACUACUUACUAUUCCAAUGACUUCUAAUCUUGAGAUGUUGAAGAUUGAUUCCGGAAUGGUACCAUGUAGGUUAAGGAAACUUAACUCUAACUCCUUCAGAUUCCAAAGGCUACCAAUCUCUUGGGGUAUAGUACCUGUCAAAAAACAUAAAAAAAUGAAAUGAUCAACAAACAAUCUGUUAUUAAUUGUAUUCAAAGAGUGUUCAAUUUUAUAUUUGAAAUCAUUUUAUAAGGUAUUUUAAAAAGGUUAACACACACACACACAUAUAUGUAUGUAUGGGCUUGAAUUAUUUAUAGGUUUGGCUGAAGACAACGUGCGAAAGGGAGUAAUACAAUCCCAACUAGUUGCUAGCUGAGCUGCUACAUAGAAAUUGCCCAUCUUACUUCCCUUCUAUUGCGAGUGUGAAACUUUAAAUAAUAAGAUAAAAUAAAUUAAUGUGUAGCCCAUCUUACUUCCCUUCUAUUACAAGAAUCCACAUAAUGAUCUUAUUAAGCUGAGUUCACAAAGUCAUAAUGAUUUUAUUUUUUGGAUUAUUAAAUAACACCAAGUCACAAUGCAACUAUAACUAUAUAUAUGCAAAUUUUUUUACUAUUGAUUUUCCAAAAUCUGAAUCUGAAUCUCUAAAAAAAAAAACAAGGGCAAACCAAGAUUCAAAACUAAUUUUGAGUAUAAUCCAAAUACCUUUCAAGUGGUUGUAACCAAGAUACAACGCCUGUAGCAGAGUUAAGUUUCCAAUCUCUCUUGGUAUAAUUCCACUGAAGUUGUUGACAGAUAAUGACAAAAAUUGAAGCUCUGAGCAUUCAUGUAGACCUGUUGGAAUUGGACCAAAGAGUUGGUUCAUAGACAGAUAAAGCAUUUGGAUUUUCGGAAUCCCAUGACAAAUAUCCCUUGGAAGAUUACCAAAUAGGCUAUUAUUUGUAAGAUCAAGACUGCGCAGUGUCGAAAUGUUGAAGACGGUGAGAGGAAUAGAGCCCGAAAGCUGAUUAUCUUGCAAAUCCAACACUUGCAAGCUUUUAAAACUACCAAAAUCCCCUGGAAUAUUUCCUUGUAGAGGAUUUCUCCCUAAAUUCAACAUCUCAAGCUUUGAUAAAUUGGAUAAAGAAGGUGGAAUGGUGCCAGUGAAACUGUUAACCGAAAGCAACAAGUCUUUAAGAUUUGAUAAUUUGCUCAACCAUGAGGGGAGCUCCCCUCCAAAGCUGUUGUAUUGAAAGUAGAUUUCUUCUAAUCGACGCAAGUUAGACAACUCUUUGGGCAGGCUACCAUUGAAGCUGUUGUUCUUGAGAUCAAACGACACAAGAAACGAGAGGUUUCCAAUUUGUGGAGGAAUGGUGCCAAUUAGGCCCAUGUUAGAAAGAUUCAAGGCCAUGACUCGUCCAUGGCGAGUGCUACAAGUGACUCCAACCCAACUGCAGCAAGACGCUUGAGUAGUGAUGGACCAGUUGGUUGUCAAGAUGCGGUUAGGGUCGGAAAUGAUGUGAGAUUUGAAGGUCAAAAGAGCGGAUUGAUCGGUGGUGAUGUUAAGGGAUAGGUGAUGAUGAUGAUGAUGAGUAGUUGUGGCUGAGCAACUUGUAAAAAUGGUGGUAUGAUGAUAUUGUAACAACAACACUAUGAUCACAUAGAAGCUGAAGCAAAUAAUUGUCUUCAUGACUUAUUAAAUUUUAUGGUAACACUAUGAAACAUAUGGAGUGGAGUUUAUAUAUGUUUUGCAAACAAGGCAUUCCCGUAAAAAAUUGAAAAAACUAACAUGCCUUUUCGUCAAAAAACUUUGACUUCAUCACUUCUUUUUGCAUCACUUUAAAGUCAUUCACAUUUGACAUUUGUGUCUGGGUUUAUUUGGCCGAGAAGUGUGUGGUUAACUUGAAGCCUAAAUUUUCCUCUCCUUUUAAGGUCAAUUCCACAAUAAAUAUAUCGGCCGAUGACCUUGACUUAUUCUAAAUAAUUUAAGCUCGACUUAAAUAUGGUUCAUAUAAAUUCCAGUACAAUACAGAUGCCUUUGCUACUGGACUCAAAAUAAUUUUUUACUGUAAUGUAUAGCACCACCCCCACGACCAAAUUUUUAGCUGGCAUUCCCUUCGUUCUCGUAAUUAAUUAAGUCCCAUUUGAUGUUGGUUCUAAUUAAUUUUGUAAUAUUUUAAAAAUGUGAAUUAUUUUAAUGUUCGAAAAAAGAUUUUCGUAUUUAGUAAUAUUUUUAAAGAAUUUUACAGUAUUAACUAUUUCAUUAAUUAAAAUCAAAGAGACUCAUAUUCAAUUUAAUUUUACGUAUUAACUAUUUAAAAAAAUAGAAAAAUAAUAUAUCUUACGACAUUAUGUAUAGACUUUUUUUUAUUGCCACGAAUGAAUAACUAUUAGUGAAUACUUUUAAAUCAGAUAUGUAAUAUAAUGGACUAAUCUUAUAAUCUAAUAUAUUAAUAUACGUCGUAAUUAUAAUUUAAUAAAAAAAUUCUUAAAAUCUAUAACAUGACUCAAAAAAUUAAAUGAGAUUUUUUUGCGAGACGAGAAGAGUAUUAUAUAAAUGAUGUUCCAUAUAAAUCACAUCUUAAAGAAUUUCUUUUAAAUUUAUUAAAAUUUCAUGUACGUAAAAUUUGGCAUAAGAUUUAACCUUGACUUGAAUAGAGUCCACAAAAAAUUCCACUAAAAUCUAGAUGCCUUUACUUUGGCGGGUCCUCCAUUCAGUAUGUGAUUAAGCCUAAUUUUCCUCCCCUUUUAAGGUCGGUUUCACAAGUCUAUCGUCUUAGGUUUGAUUUGAUAAAAUUAAAUAAAAAGUUUUAAAUAUAUAAGAAAAUCUGAAUGAGUUGAAUAAAGUAAAAAUUCUGAAUAUAUAAUGAAGUGAUGUGUUUAAUAAUUGUAACAUCUGAAUACGUGUAUUUCACUAUUUUACCCUUUUGGACUAUUAUAAAUAAAUUUAUUAUGUAAUUAUAAAUAUACAAUAUUAUCUAAAAAAAAUUCCACUACAAUCUGAUAUUGACUUAUUCUAAAUGAUUUAAAUAUAGUCCAUCAAAAAUUCCACUACAAUCUAGGUGCACAAUCUACAAUAAAUUUGACGUAAGAUUUAACCUCGACUUAAAUAUAGUCCACGAAAAAUUUCACAACAAUCCAAAUGUGGCUAAAGUCGUGAUUUUUACAAUGCUCUCCCAAUAACUUUAAUCAAAUAUGCAAACCGUUAUUGGUGAACUCUAAUACAACUUUAAUUCAAAUAUGAUUCCAAAGUUAUCUGAAAGGUGAUUGGGUAUGUUUCUGAAGUAGAGGGCUGCUAUGAAUAACUAUGCGAGGUCGGGGGCAACGCCCCGGCCCAAAAGUUUGGGGGGAAUUGUGUACUUUCAUGGUGAAUUCAGGUUUUUGUAUAUAUUGAAAUGUAUAAAGACAAUUGUGUGCGUAAUAAGUUGCACAUUUGUGCUGAAAAUAUAAGCUCCUUUUCAAAAUAUAAGAGACACUUAGAUAUCAGUUUGCUCUUCCUUUAACCAUGAGGAAUACAACAGCAUUAAUUCAUAACUCAAUCAUAAAAAGUAUCAUAAAAAGUAUAAUACAAUGAUCAUCUUAAUCCAUGAAUAAUCCUGAAAGUAUUUCAGAGCUACUAAACAAAAUCCUUAUAUAAAAUUUAAUAUCAAAUCCUCAAACAUUACCUUACUAACUGAGAAUAACUAAGCACUGCUUGGCAAAUCAACUCUAAUUAAGUAUUAUAAAGUCUUGAAACAAUGUAUUACUGUAUAUUAAGAAAACGACAACUACACACUACUCCCAACUAUUCUGCUGGCUAACUAAUAGCAGAUUUCAGCUACCAUCGACAUAAUGGAGUUAGCUUCUCUCCAAGUUCCCUCAUUUCUAUAUAAUAUAAUACGAUUGAGUGAAAUUGGUACUGUCUGAUACUGCUAUUUGAGUCGUAUUACCAUAUUUGAGCAUAUCUGAUUCGUUAGAUGCCUAUUUCACUUCAUUCCAUGAAAAAAGGGCAAAGAAAGAACACAAAAUCUUCAUCUUUAAUUCAAAUUGAAUUCGUCAAAAUUCAAUACAUUUAUGACACACAACAACAUCAUAACAUGUAGUAAGGACAAUGCAACCACUACAAUCAACCACAAAAUACUCUUUUAAAUAUUGAUUUAGCUAAAAUAUAUGUUAGACCGAGUACCAAAACAAAUUGUUGAUGAGUAAAAGAUGAUCAUGACAAUGUCUUACUUUAAGAUCGUCUAGUUUAAAGCAUUGAUGUUACCAAUAUCACUCCAACCUUUUGAUAGACCUAAAAACCAUUACAAACACAUGAGAUACAAAAAUAUGUUAAAAUUAUUGAAUAACUAUUAGAAUUAAUUUAGUAAUAAAAAGAUAAGUAUGCAAAAUGAGUACUUUGAUGUUUCAAUUCCUUUCGUGAUUUGCAAGAAAGUCAAGUUUGAUCUUUUUGAGUGUUACCAUAACAUCUUUCAUGUUGGACCUCUCUUCAGGUGAAUAAGCAACACAACUCAAAGCCAAUUCCAUAAUAGAUGAGACACAUUGUAGCUUCACAAUUAUGUGUCCAUCCACUGGUUUUAGCAAAUUUGUGUCAAUAACUUGCAUUACUAAGUUAGGAAUUGAAUCGUUUACCCAACGCUUCAAACUCAUAUCUCCAAGAAAUUGUUCAUCACUUGGCUUAGUUCUUGUAAAUACUUCCAUUAACAUAAUGCCAUAACUGUAAACAUCGCAUUUUGUGGAUACUAAUCCUUCCGAUCCGUACUCUAAAUCCAACAUCACAAAUCAACAAGGUAAAUGGAAAAACAUAGCUUGAGCAUACAAUUAAAUGAGCUAAGUUUUACUAUUAGGAAAAAAAAAGUAAAAAGGUUGAGGGUCACCUGGUGCAAUAUAUCCAAUUGUGGCUAGAGUCAUGGUUUGUGCAGUGUUCUCCCCCUCUCCCAAUAACUUUGCUAUGCCAAAAUCACUCACAUGUGCAACCAUAUCUUCAUCUAGAAGAACGUUGUUGGGCUUAAGAUCACAAUGAACCACAGACGUUGAAUAACCAUGAUGGAGAUAGUCCAAAGCACAUGCCACAUCUAUCAUUAAGUUUAUUCUUUGCAAAAUAUCUAAGAAAUGGUUGUGGGAGUACAACCACUUCUCAAAACUCCCAUUAGGCAUGUAUUCAAGAACCAAUGCUUUGAAAUCAAGGUUAGAGCAGCUACCGAUGACUUUGUUGAUAUUUCGGUGACGAAGGUUGCGUAAUACUUCGCAUUCUACAUCGAAACUCUUGAAUCCUCCUUCUAGUUGCAGAUUGAAUACCU
rnacentral:lncRNA from 1 species